AGUGAACGCUGGCGGUAGGCCUAACACAUGCAAGUCGAACGGAAGCACAGUAAGAGCUUGCUCUUAAGGGUGGCGAGUGGCGGACGGGUGAGGAAUACAUCGGAAUCUACUUUUUCGUGGGGGAUAACGUAGGGAAACUUACGCUAAUACCGCAUACGACCUACGGGUGAAAGCAGGGGAUCUUCGGACCUUGCGCGAUUGAAUGAGCCGAUGUCGGAUUAGCUAGUUGGCGGGGUAAAGGCCCACCAAGGCGACGAUCCGUAGCUGGUCUGAGAGGAUGAUCAGCCACACUGGAACUGAGACACGGUCCAGACUCCUACGGGAGGCAGCAGUGGGGAAUAUUGGACAAUGGGCGCAAGCCUGAUCCAGCCAUACCGCGUGGGUGAAGAAGGCCUUCGGGUUGUAAAGCCCUUUUGUUGGGAAAGAAAAGCAGCAGAUUAAUACCCCGCUGUUCUGACGGUACCCAAAGAAUAAGCACCGGCUAACUUCGUG
rnacentral:rRNA from 1 species